rnacentral:lncRNA from 1 species
CCUCAGAGACAAGGAAUCAAGGAUCCAGACAAGAAAGGGCCUGGGUGCACCGAUGCAGAUUCUCUACAGAGGUGAAUCUUCCUCACAAAAGACAGCUUUGCAGGACAACUUCUGUUUACUGGCUCUGUAACAGCCAUCUCAAAAUAUGUCAACUAAAUAUAUUUGCGUUAAAAUAUUUUGAUUUCCUUCACUAUGCUGAGUUCAAAGCUGCACCCUGCCAUGUAUUAGUCAUUUGUCCCUGAGCUGGUGAUGUACUCUUUUAAGGCUUCAGUUACCAUCCCCAUGACAUGAAGCCAGUGUUUGUCCCUAAGGUAAGGAUGGAAAAUCUGAGAAUGUGACUCUGUGUGGGCUUCAAGUAUACAUGCUUUAUCUCUUUCACACCCUUCUCCUCUUUCUUCCUGGG